UGCUCGAGUGGCGAACGGGUGAGUAACACGUGGGUGAUCUGCCCUGCACUUCGGGAUAAGCCUGGGAAACUGGGUCUAAUACCGGAUAGGACCAUCGUUUAGUGUCGGUGGUGGAAAGUUUUUCGGUGUGGGAUGAGCUCGCGGCUUAUCAGCUUGUUGGUGGGGUAAUGGCCUACCAAGGCGUCGACGGGUAGCCGGCCUGAGAGGGUGUACGGCCACAUUGGGACUGAGAUACGGCCCAG
rnacentral:rRNA from 1 species